rnacentral:misc_RNA from 1 species
AACUGAUACUACCUGCGGGAACCUGCGGAGGGAUCAUUACCGAGUUUCCAAAACUCCCAACCCAUGUGAACCUACCUCUCGUUGCCUCGGCGGGAUCGCCCCGGGUGCCCCAGGCCCCGGACCCAGGCGCCCGCCGCAGGACCCCAAACUCUUGUUUAGUGGAAGCUUCUUCUGAGUGAGAAAACAAAUAAAUCAAAACUUUUAACAAUGGAUCUCU